CUCCCGAAUGGCUCAUUACAACAGCCAUAAUUUACUUGAUGUUGAUAUUCCACGUGGAUAACUGUGGUAAUUCUAGAGCUAAUACAUGCACCAAAGCUCCGAUCUCAUGACGAGCGCAUCUAUUAGACCAAAAACCAAUCGAGAAUAUUCGCCUCAAAACGAAUGCCUCGUAAAUUUGGUGACUCUGAAUAGCUUAGCUGAUCGCAUGGUCUCGCACCGGCGACGUAUCUAUCAAGUGUCUGCCUUAUCAACUUUCGAUGGUAGUUUAUAUGCCUACCAUGGUUGUAACGGGUAACGGAGAAUAAGGGUUCGACUCCGGAGAGGGAGCCUGAGAAACGGCUACCACAUCCAAGGAAGGCAGCAGGCGCGCAAAUUACCCACUCUCAGCACGAGGAGGUAGUGACGAAAAAUAACGAGACCGUUCUCUUCGAGGCCGGUUAUCGGAAUGAGUACAAUUUAAAGCCGUUAACGAGGAUCUAUGAGAGGGCAAGUCUGGUGCCAGCAGCCGCGGUAAUUCCAGCUCUCAAAGUGUAUAUCGUCAUUGCUGCGGUUAAAAAGCUCGUAGUUGGAUUUAAGCUCGAUGACUCGGUCCAUCCAUAGGAUGAGAACUGAGCUCAUCGGCUAUCAUCGGCUGGUUUUGUCUAGGUGGCUUUAAACGGUUGCCUAGGCUGGCUAGCAAGUUUACUUUGAAAAAAUUAGAGUGCUCAACGCGGGCUUAAUGCCUGAAUAGUCGUGCAUGGAAUAAUGGAAUAGGAUUUCGGUUCUAUUUUGUUGGUUUUUUUAACCGAAAUAAUGGUUAAGAGGGACAGACGGGGGCAUUCGUAUCGCUACGUGAGAGGUGAAAUUCUUGGACCGUAGCGAGACGCCCGACUGCGAAAGCAUUUGCCAAGAAUGUCUUCAUUAAUCAAGAACGAAAGUCAGAGGUUCGAAGGCGAUCAGAAUACCGCCAAA
rnacentral:rRNA from 1 species